ACUGAGUGGCGGACGGGUGAGUAACGCGUGGGUAACCUGCCCUGUACAGGGGGACAACAGUUAGAAAUGACUGCUAAUACCGCAUAAGCGCACAGGACCGCAUGGUCCGGUGUGAAAAACUCCGGUGGUACAGGAUGGACCCGCGUCUGAUUAGGUAGUUGGUGGGGUAAUGGCCUACCAAGGCAACGAUCAGUAGCCGGCCUGAGAGGGUGAACGGCCACAUUGGGACUGAGACACGGCCCAAACUCCUACGGAAGGCAGCAG
rnacentral:rRNA from 1 species